rnacentral:rRNA from 1 species
GACAGAGGGGGCAAGCGUUGCUCGGAAUUACUGGGCGUAAAGGGCGCGUAGGCGGGCUGGCAAGUCGGUCGUGAAAUCCCUCGGCUCAACUGAGGAUCGUCGAUCGAUACUGCCGUUCUUGGGGAUUGCAGAGGAGACUGGAAUUCCCGGUGUAGCGGUGAAAUGUGUAGAGAUCGGGAGGAACACCGGUGGCGAAGGUGGGUCUCUGGGCAAUUCCUGACGCUGAGGCGCGAAAGCGUGGGGAGCAAACGGG